rnacentral:rRNA from 1 species
UACGUAGGGUGCAAGCGUUAAUCGGAAUUACUGGGCGUAAAGCGUGCGCAGGCGGUCUUGCAAGACAGAUGUGAAAUCCCCGGGCUUAACCUGGGAACUGCAUUUGUGACUGCAAGGCUGGAGUACGGUAGAGGGGGAUGGAAUUCCGCGUGUAGCAGUGAAAUGCGUAGAUAUGCGGAGGAACACCGAUGGCGAAGGCAAUCCCCUGGACCUGUACUGACGCUCAUGCACGAAAGCGUGGGGAUCAAACAGG